rnacentral:tRNA from 2 species
GCAGUCUUGGCCGAGCGGUUAAGGCGAUGUACAAGAACCCAUUGGGGUCUUCCCGCACAGGUUCGAAUCCUGUCGACUGCG